ACUGCACUCCAGCCUGGGCCACAGAGCGAGACCCUGUCUCUAAAUAAACAAACAACCUAAUGUCAAGUUAGGAAGUGUGGCAAAAAGGAACAAAGUCAGGGUGACUGCCAUUCUAGAAAGGGUGGUGAGGGAAGGUCUCCUUGAGCAGAUCCUGUGGGAGUGGAAGGGUAAGUCACGAGACUCUCUGGAGGAAGAAGAUUCCAGGUGGAAAUGCCUUAGUGGGUGUUAAACGCUUUAACGGGUGUUAGCCAGAAAGCCAGAAUGGCUGGAGCUGAGGGAGUAGAGGAGGCGGCAUAGAAAAUGAGGUCAGAGAUGGAGGCAGGGCCGGAUCACAGAGGGGCACAGAGAACGAGGAGGGAAUUGGAUUUUUGGAAAAGAUUGUGG
rnacentral:lncRNA from 1 species